rnacentral:rRNA from 1 species
ACGGAAGGCAGCAGUGGGGAAUAUUGGGCAAUGGGCGAAAGCCUGACCCAGCAACGCCGCGUGAAGGAAGAAGGCUUUCGGGUUGUAAACUUCUUUUAUCAGGGACGAAGUAGUGACGGUACCUGAUGAAUAAGCUCCGGCUAACUACGUGCCAGCAGCCGCGGUAAUACGUAGGGAGCAAGCGUUGUCCGGAUUUACUGGGUGUAAAGGGCGCGUAGGCGGGGAAGCAAGUCAGGUGUGAAAUCUAUGGGCUCAACCCAUAAACUGCACUUGAAACUGUUUUUCUUGAGUGAUGGAGAGGCAAGCGGAAUUCCUAGUGUAGCGGUGAAAUGCGUAGAUAUUAGGAGGAACACCAGUGGCGAAGGCGGCUUGCUGGACAUUAACUGACGCUGAGGCGCGAAAGCGUGGGGAGCAAACAGGAUUAGAUACCCUGGUA